rnacentral:rRNA from 1 species
AGCGAACGUUUGCGGCGGGCCUAACACAUGCAAGUCGAACGAGAUCUCGGGCUUCGGUCCGGGUGAAAGUGGCGCACGGGUGCGUAACACGUGGGUAAUCAACCCUCUGGAUCGGGACAACCCGGGGAAACUCGGGCUAAUACCGGAUACGUCGUCGGAGCUCUAGGGCUCUGACGGGAAAGGCCUGCAAGGGCUACCAGAGGACGAGCUCGCGGCCCAUCAGCUAGUUGGUGAGGUAAUGGCUCACCAAGGCGAAGACGGGUAGCUGGUCUGAGAGGAUGAUCAGCCACACUGGAACUGAGACACGGUCCAGACUCCUACGGGAGGCAGCAGUGGGGAAUAUUGCGCAAUGGGCGAAAGCCUGACGCAGCCACGCCGCGUGUGCGAUGAAGGUCUUCGGAUCGUAAAGCACUGUGGGGGGAGAAGAAACAAGCCGGUGAAGAGCCGGCCCUGACGGUAUCCCCUUAGCAAGCACCGGCUAACUCCGUGCCAGCAGCCGUACGG